GGACACACACGGGCUGCAGGAGCUGGGCCGAGCACAGAACACUCAGCAGCGUGUGCAGAUCACGAUUUGCCCAGCACAUUCCUGCCUGUUGCCAAAAGCAAGCGUUGGGAAGCCCUCAGGAUUUCCAAAGGAAUAACUUCACAGCCAAAUAAUGAGCAUUGCUAUGCUUUGCACAGUAUUUUCAGUAGAACAGCAUAAGUGGGAAUUUAAGCAGCUAAAGGACAGACAUUGGGAUGGUUCUGCAUCACCUGGAGGAGAACUGCUCAAGGAGGGCUUCUGGGUGUGAGCUGAGCCUGAAGAUUACACAAUUUCAAAGGUGCUUAAUCAUGUUCAGUGGGAAGCGUGUGCACUUCCUGGGUGCACACACAACACACAGCUGAUUCUGCAACAGAUGCAGAGCAGAAACAAAACAGCCUCCUCUUUAUCACAGCAGUUCUUGGUAAACCAAAUGCUCACCUCAGUCUCAGGGAGAGCUGAAAGACCACAGGCACAGGAACUCCUGCAGUGCAGGUGCACUGACCUCAGCCAUCACCCCGCGCAGCUCCUCCUGCACCAGGAGCUCCAGCGGGCUGGCUUUGCCUCACUGGAACCUUCCUGCACAGCAGGGGAGUAAUCCAGAUCUCUACAACUGAUAAUCUCUUGACUGCUAUAAUACAGAUCAAAGAGUAGCGUUCUAACAGACACAGUACUUGAAUUUGGAUCUGCAGAAGCACAAAAGACAGAGGUUUGUGAACACACAGAAGAGAUGUUUAUCCAAGACUGCCCCCCUCUGUUGUUGCUUCACAGCUAAAAAAAGAAAAAUGUUUUAAACUGCUAUGAAUUCUUCUCACACUUGAUAAAAUGAGAUUUGCAGUAUACUGAUUUUUAGUAUCAGUAUUUAAUGGAAAAAUAAAAUCAAAUAAAAUAAAACAUAAAUAAAAACUUAAAUACUCCUGGAAUAUAAACAUGCAAAUCAUACUGAAUUUCUUCAGAGAGUGUUUGAGUAGGGGUGAUUUUAUUGAGCUGUUUGCAGCAAAAAAAAAUUAAUAUUUCUCUUAGUUUUUCUCUGUUCAUAUUUUUCUAUAAAAUCACUCUAAAAUACAGGCUGCGAUUUUAAAAAAAAAAAAAUUACAAAUUUUUUUUUGCCUUUUUUUUGGCAAAGACAAAUCUCAGAACUAUUUCUCUUUCAUAAAGUUUCUGCUAAGGUCAAUUCAGUAUUUUAUUAAUGGAAAGAUAACUUUGUAUGUUUAACAUAUGCUUAAAUAAAUAUUGGAAAACUAAGUCUAUUCCUGAAAAAUUCCAACUGUAAUGCUUAAAAAUGAGAAGGGGAACAAAGUACCCACAUCUGAUUCUCAUAAUCCACUGCACACCCCUUAAAACAAAAGCAGCAAAGAGAACAAGGCUGUUGAAAACUGUACAAAUGAAACAAUUUAAUGAAUAAAAAUUUGAGAAAUAUAAAAUACUAUUUUAAAGGAGAGUUUGGCUUGUGUGUUUAUUUAGUGGCAUUAAAAAUGCUAUGU